UCCGCCUGCUGUCAAACUAGUGGAAAAGUAGCUAGUUAGCAUCAGGUUAGCAUCAGAGCUAACGUCAAUUAGAUGAAAGUAACAUACGUCACCUCCGGGUGAAAUUACGGCUCCGCCCACUUUUGAGGCAAACCAACGCUGUCAUUUGAAAGGCGGUAAAUUAAACAAAUUCUGAAGUUUCACAAAUGUUAAAAAACCGUGGAUUUUUGUACCUUCAAGGAGUUUUGAGAAGCGUUUUAAUAUCAGCAGUUAUACCCGAUGCAACUGGAUGACAGGCUCGACAAGGGCUGUUGUUUCAAUAUAUCACUGAAGUGGUUCCCUCUUCGGAAAAAAUGUACGUGGCUGACCCCCAGUCAGAGGGCCUAGGUAUAAAAGCCACGGUUCGCCACUGCCCUAUUCCUAUAUCACAGAGCCAGGUAUCAUAUUGCUCAACCACCCAGGAAAACCUUGUACUUCCUGUACACUGUAAAACCAGUUCCUUCUGAAAGGGUCAACGAAAGUACGUCAGAGAACAUGAGUGGUGAGACAAGGAAUUCACACAUUAUGGUA